AACGAGCGCAACCCUUGCCUUUAGUUGCCAGCAGUUCGGCUGGGCACUCUAAAGGGAACUGCCGGUGUUAAACCGGAGGAAGGUGGGGAGUGACGUCAAGUCCUCAUGGCCUUUAUGACCAGGGCUACACACGUACUACAAUGGCCGAUACAAAGGGCAGCGACACUGCGAGGUGAAGCCAAUCCCGUAAAAUCGGUCUCAGUCCGGAUUGGAGUCUGCAACUCGACUCCAUGAAGUUGGAAUCGCUAGUAAUCGUGGAUCAGCAUGCCACGGUGAAUACGUUCCCGGGCCUU
rnacentral:rRNA from 1 species